rnacentral:rRNA from 1 species
GAUGAACGCUAGCGGCAGGCCUAACACAUGCAAGUCGAGGGGCAGCAUAAAAUAAACUUGUUUCUUUGGUGGCGACCGGCGCACGGGUGCGUAACGCGUAUGCAACCUACCUUAUACUGGGGAAUAGCCCGAAGAGAUUCGGAUUAAUGCCCCAUAGUACUGAGACCUCUCCUGAGGAUUCAGUUAAAGCUUUGGCGGUAUAAGAUGGGCAUGCGUCCAAUUAGCUAGAUGGUGAGGUAACGGCUCACCAUGGCGACGAUUGGUAGGGGGCCUGAGAGGGUGGUCCCCCACACUGGUACGGAGACACGGACCAGACUCCUACGGGAGGCAGCAGUGAGGAAUAUUGGUCAAUGGGCGCAAGCCUGAACCAGCCAUGCCGCGUGAAGGAUGAAGGUUCUAUGGAUUGUAAACUUCUUUUAUUUGGGAAUAAACCUCUUUACGUGUAGAGAGCUGAAGGUACCAAAUGAAUAAGCACCGGCUAACUCCGUGCCAGCCGCCGCAGUAAUAC